rnacentral:rRNA from 1 species
GACGAACGCUGGCGGCGUGCCUAAUACAUGCAAGUCGAGCGGAGUUAUUUUGAAAGCUUGCUUUCAAAAUAACUUAGCGGCGGACGGGUGAGUAACACGUAGGCAACCUGCCCCUUAGACUGGGAUAACUACCGGAAACGGUAGCUAAUACCGGAUAAUUUCUUUUUUCUCCUGAAGAGAGAAUGAAAGACGGAGCAAUCUGUCACUGAGGGAUGGGCCUGCGGCGCAUUAGCUAGUUGGUGGGGUAACGGCCCACCAAGGCGACGAUGCGUAGCCGACCUGAGAGGGUGAACGGCCACACUGGGACUGAGACACGGCCCAGACUCCUACGGGAGGCAGCAGUAGGGAAUCUUCCGCAAUGGACGAAAGUCUGACGGAGCAACGCCGCGUGAGUGAUGAAGGUUUUCGGAUCGUAAAGCUCUGUUGCCAGGGAAGAACGUCCGGUAGAGUAACUGCUAUCGGAGUGACGGUACCUGAGAAGAAAGCCCCGGCUAACUACGUGCCAGCCGCCGCAGUAACA